rnacentral:miRNA from 1 species
GGGCUGGGCUGGGCUGGGCUGGGCUGGGCUGGGCUGGGGCUGCACGGGCCAUGCUUCCUAGUG